rnacentral:hammerhead_ribozyme from 1 species
AUCCAGCUGACGAGUCCCAAAUAGGACGAAACGCGCGUCUAAGCCGGAU